GUCUGAGCAGAGACUCACUUGAAAAUUCGGCUCAAGCUAAGCAGGGCCGGGUCUGGUUAGUACUUGGAUGGGAGACCACCCAGGAAGACCAGAUGCUGUAGGCG
rnacentral:rRNA from 1 species